CCUACCAGAUGCCAGUGGUAUGGCCAGCUCUCACCUUGCCAUCCUGACUGUGCCGGACACACUCUGAGGUGGUCCCACGAUCAUCAGCUCCUGGGGGUCAUGCCUUAUGUAAUCCCCUCCCUUAAGUGUGGGUAGACCCUGUGAUCUCCUCCUAAUGAAUAAAAGAUGGCAAAGGUCAUUAUGCCACAUGAAGACAACAACGUCCACCUUGCUGGGGACUAUCUCACCUUCACUGGCUUUCAUGAAACAAGAAGCCAUGUUAAGAUGGAAGAAACAGAGGAUGGCCCCCAACAAACCCCAGCCCAGAACCAAGGCUUUCAGUCUUAGAGAUAUGGGGGAUGGAACUCCACCCAGUCUAUUUCUCAAAGACUGGGACAGGAUGAGGUAGGUAAGACGGAGCAAACAAAGCAAUCUGAAAGGCAACUCAUAACUACAGGAUGGAAGCUGGCUUCAGGUAGAGCAGCAAGCCUGUGAAUCAGCUGUAUGGGGAAGAAGUUACUGCCCCAGAAGCUCAUGGAAUGAGAGGCUCCCUUGCUAUCUACUGACAGGACCAUUCCACCUCAACGGCACCAGAGCUGGAGCAUCCAAAUGUGGCAUUUCAGAAAAAAUAGAGGCCACCAGACCCACUAUUGCCAGAGGCUUCACGGAAGAGAGACUGUGGAGCCAAGCAUGAGGACAGCAUGUGGGGAAGAAGCCAUGUGGAAGCCAUACUGCAAGUUCCAGGAGGGGAGCAGGAAAUCCGGUCUCCCUCCCCAUUGAAUUCCCAGCGCAUGGAACACGAGGUACAUAGCGAUCCCUGCUACUUCCCAUUCAUAUCCUGGGUACUCGCUCUACACCAGCCGUGUGGUCCAAAGCGGUAAACAAGAUAGAUCCUCAUUUGUUCCCACACGUCCAUCAGGAGGAACUAAAAAAGACCCAGAGAGUUCCCUCAGCCUUUCUAUCCCGUGAGGACACAGUAAGACGACACCAGGUCCUCACCUUCACCCCAUCUGCUGCUGCCACAAUCUUGGACUUCCAGCCACCAAGAGAAAUAAAUGUCUGUUAUUUAU